rnacentral:tRNA from 1 species
AAUUAAAUAGUUUAAUAAAAACGUUAUAAUUUCAUUAUAAAAAUAAUUUUUAUAAUUUUUGAUUA